GUGACAGAGGACUCGCCCCGGACUGUACCUCCCUCCUCGCAGGUCCCUAAUGGACAGCCACCCCUGGACAACGACUCACCUGCCUACUCCUACCAACAGACUAAAUAACAGGAGGAUGAGGAGCGAUUGUUCCGGUAACUGCAUUGCCCUGAGACAGGGGCUCCACUGAAGUACUGGAGGGAGGAAAACAAUGGAGGAAAAAAAGGACGACAAUGCACAGGCAUCAAAAAAAAAACUUUGUUUUAUCUGUCCUGAGAGAGAGAGAGAGAGAGAGAGAGAGAGAGAGAGAGAGAGAGAGAGAGAGAGAGAGAGAGAGAGAUGCAGAUAAAGUCUCAGAUGAUGGACAGGUGCAAUAUGGGACAUUGAGUUUAUUGAGUGGCCAGCAUGAAACUGGAGUCGUCCUUCGAAAAAGAAAAGAACAAAGUCAAAAACAUAUAUAAAAAGAACAGACAAAAAAAAAGAACUUUAAAAGGAACAAACAGACAAAAAUCCAUGUGAAUGUGCAGGUAGGUUUUCAGAUCAUGAGAGUUUUUUAAUAGGAGGCAAAGUUCCAGAGAAAAAACAAACAAAUUAAACGGUUGUCUUCCUUUGCUAUUAAGCUACUAUAUUUUUUAUUAUUUUCAUGAUUUAAAAUUGUAAAGUUUUCUAGAGAACAAAAAAAA